rfam:Bacterium CG2_30_33_46 isolate CG2_30_33_46 cg2_3.0_scaffold_840_c, whole genome shotgun sequence.
UAUAAGAUUAUAUUUGUUCCGAAGAAAGUAGCUGUCCACGAAGGACUUAAUUUGCUACCGAGGGCAGUAACAAAUUCUUAUUUUUAUUGUUAUUAUCCUCGGUUAAAUCCGAGAUUUUUUAUAAGAAA